rnacentral:rRNA from 1 species
UCCGGGGCAGCCUAAUUAGGGCCAACCCGUCUCUGUGGCAAAAGAGUGGGAAGACCCCCGAGUAGAGGUGAUAAGCCUACCGAGCCUAGUUAUAGCUGGUUGCUUAAGAAACGAAUAUUAGUUCAGCCUUAUGUAAUUCUUUAAUCGAAACAAUUACAACCAAAAGAACAAAAGCAAUACAUAAGAGUUAGUCAAAGGGGGUACAGCCCCUUUGAAACAGAACACAACCUUAUUCAGGAGGACAAGGAUCAUAUCACAUAAAGGACAAAAUUACCUCAGUGGGCCCAAAAGCAGCCACCUGUAAAGAAAGCGUUAAAGCUCUGGUAAAUAUAAACCAAUAAUAAAGACAACACACUCCCCACCCCCUAAAAAUAUUAAGCUAUCCUAUGCACACAUAGGAGAAAAAAUGCUAAAAUCAGUAAUAAGAGGACCAAAGUCCUCUCCUAGCACACGUGUAAGUCAGAACGGACCUACCACUGACAAUCAACGGACCCAAACAGAGAGAAAAAGAACAAGCUACAAUAAAACAAGAAAAAACUAUUUAAUACCAUAAACCGUUAUCCCAACACAGGAGUGCCUCAAGGAAAGACUAAAAGGAGAAGAAGGAACUCGGCAAACACAAACCCCGCCUGUUUACCAAAAACAUCGCCUCUUGCUAACAAAGGAAGUACUAGAGGUCCCGCCUGCCCUGUGACCGCAAGGUUUAACGGCCGCGGUAUCCUGACCGUGCGAAGGUAGCGUAAUCAUUUGUCUUUUAAAUAGAGACCUGUAUGAAUGGCAUAACGAGGGUUUAACUGUCUCCUUCCCCUAGUCAAUGAAAUUGAUCUGCCCGUGCAGAAGCGGACAUAAACACAUAAGACGAGAAGACCCUAUGGAGCUUUAGACAAAAGAUCAAACAUGUAAAGAAACCAAACCAACCAAAAGGAACACAAAGGCCACAAAACCCGACGUAAACUGAUCCAAAUGUCUUCGGUUGGGGCGACCAUGGGGAAAAGAAAAACCCCCACGAGGAACUAGGGGCAAUCCAUAAACCAAGAGAGACAUCUCUAAGCAACAGAAAAUCUGACCAAAAAUGACCCAGGAUACUAAUCCUGAUCAACGAACCAAGUUACCCUAGGGAUAACAGCGCAAUCCUUUCCCAGAGUCCAUAUCGACGAAAGGGUUUACGACCUCGAUGUUGGAUCAGGACAUCCU